CUGAACCUCCAAUAGUUCCUAAUGGAAGUUAUACUGUCUUAGGAUACAACGUUGAUCAUACAGUUACAUAUGUGUGUGACGAUGGAUUCGUACAUUCUGCUGGGAAUUUAGUAGGAACAUGUACCAAUAUGGGGACAUGGGAUUUGAUAGUACCAUCUUGCAGUGCUCCCUUGUGUCCGACACCACCAAUAAUUACAAACACUGUUACAGAAGAACAGGGAAGAAGUCCCGGAGACAAAGUAAUCUUCAGUUGUAUACCUGGAUUUGUUGAUAUAUCUGGUGAUCUAGAACAUAUGUGUAGUACUAGUCUGUCUUGGGAAGGAAUUAAUCCGGUUUGCAUACAAAUUGUUGGCGGUCAAAAUACAGAUCGUGGCUACAAGAAAACAACUCAAGAUUUAUCAAACUAUUCACAGCUGCAUCAACCACAAGCAAGGUCAAAUUUAAACUGUGCAGAAAAAUGUAAUAAGGACUCGUUGUGUAAUUCAUAUACAUUUGAUAAUAGUGUUAAAACAUGUCGUCUGUAUAAGUUUGAUAUGACUGGCAGUAAUCUUGUGUGCACUGGAAGUGACAUAUGCUACAUUCGACAUUCAUGAUUCUUGGAUUCGUUAAAGAUUUAUUUCAAUAAAGAAGGUAGUGAUGGAUUAUAUUUUGAAUCAGACAUAUUACAUUCAGACAUUGUGUCUUUUGCGUUUUUGCUACGGUUUUUUAUGUGCUUUGUAUCGAUCUGAUUAGAUUAGCCCUUUUCAACUGAUUUUUAUAGUCUGUAAGUUUAACCCCGCCACAUUAUGCAUGUGCCUGUCCCAAGUCAGGAGCCUGAAAUUCAGUGGCUGUCGUUUGUUGCUGUAUAUUAUAUUGGUUUUUCGUUUAUUGUUUUGUACUUAAAUCUGGGCAUUAGUUUUCUCGUUUGAAUUGCUUUACAUUUGUUAUUUCGGGGCCUUUUAAAGCUUACUAUGCGGUAUGGGGUUUGCCUAUUGUUGAAGGCUGUACGGUGACCUAAAGUAACUGUUGUUAAUUUCUAUGUCAAUCGGUCUCUGGUGGUGUCUUAUUGGCAAUCAUACCACAUCUUCUUAUUUUUAUAUAUGUAUUACUCACUGCGUUAUACACAGAUGUGUGAGUUGUUUUUUAGGUCAUGCAUGCUGUAUAACGGCAUUUUGAUUUUCAUAUGUUAUAUUUCUUUAAAACUAAGUCUGUAAUUGCUACUCACUCGUUUUUAUCUUGUUUAUGUUAUUUUGUAUAAUUUGUACUCAUCUUAUUGUUAUUCACUUGCGUCUGUUGCUAUGGAUUUUUGUAGUAUUUUCUUCAUCGUAUUUUUAAAUAAACUCAUCAUAGAUACCAGGAUUAAAUUUUGUAUUUACGCCAGACGCGCGUUUCGUCUACAAAAGACUCAUCAGUGACGCUCGAAUCCCAAAAAGUUAAAAAGGCCAAAUAAAGUACGAAGUUGAAGAGCAUUGAGGACCAAAAUUCUUAAAAGUUUUGCCAAAUACAGCUAAGGUAAUCUAUUCCUGAGGUAGAAAAGCCUUAGUAUUUCAAAAAUUCAAAAGUUUUGUAAACAGUUAAUUUAUAAA